AGUCGACGGUAUCUUUGGAUACAGUGGCGAACGGGUGAGUAACACGUAGGGAACCUGGCCAUACCUGGGGGAUAAUUUCUGGAAACGGAAACUAAUACCGCAUGGGUUUUGCUUAAGCCUUUAAGCGAAAUGAAAGAAGCGCGAGACGCUUCGGGGAUGGAUGGUCCUGCGCUGCAUUAGCUGGCUGGUGAGGCAACGGCUCACCAGGGCGAUGAUGCAUAGCCGGCCUGAGAGGGCGGACGGCCACACUGGGACUGAGACACGGCCCAGACUCCUGCGGGAGGCAGCAGUAGGGAAUUUUCGUCAAUGGGGGCAACCCUGAACGAGCAAUGCCGCGUGAGCGAAGAAGGUCUUCGGAUUGUAAAGCUCUGUUGCCGGGGAAAAAGGAAGGAAAGAGGAAAUGCUUUUCUUUGGAUGGUACCCGGCCAGAAAGUCACGGCUAACUACGUGCCAGCAGCCGCGGUAAUACGUAGGUGGCAAGCGUUAUCCGGAAUGAUUGGGCGUAAAGGGUGAGCAGGCGGUUCUUCAAGUCAUGAGUGAAAGGCAGAAGCUUAACUUCUGUUGGCUGAUGAGACUGGAGAACUUGAGUACAGGAGAGGGCGGCGGAACUCCAUGUGUAGCGGUAAAAUGCGUAGAGAUAUGGAAGAACACCAGUGGCGAAGGCGGCCGCCUGGACUGAAACUGACGCUCAGGCACGAAAGCGUGGGGAGCAAAUAGGAUUAGAUACCCUAGUAGUCCACGCCGUAAACGA
rnacentral:rRNA from 1 species